AUGAGGGGGGAGAGAAAAAUUUGGGAUUUGAUCUGGAGAGCCAAUGUUCCUCAGAAAAUUCGUAUUUUUGCGUGGCGGGUAGCUAUCAAUAGCUUGGCUGUCCAGGUUAACAGAGUGGUGCAUCACCAAGCUACGAUUAGUACUUGCUCAAUUUGUGGAGUGGAAGAUGAAAGUACGUUUCAUGUGCUUGUCGACUGUCCAAAGGCUUAUGCUUUGCGUAUGGCCAUGAGGGACACUUGGGAAUUACCUGUGGAGGAGGUGUUCAGGUAUACUGGGUGUGAUUGGUUUCUUAUCCUUCUGGAUCAAUUGAGUCCUCUGAUGCGUGACAGAAUUAUCUUCAUCUUUUGGAGAGCCUGGCAUUUGAGAAAUGAUUUGAUUUUUGGUAAGGGGAAGGAAUCU
rnacentral:rRNA from 1 species